rnacentral:ribozyme from 13 species
UUCACGCAAAUGGACGCGUGAAGAUGAGAGACAAAAAAAAAAAAUGAAAGAGAAGGGAGAGUACCACCAAGCAGUCUGCCUUUUUGUAUUUUUUCUUUUUUUU